CAGGUGCGAGAGGGAGUGUAUACGCGCGUCUGAGACUGUGGGAAAAAUAACGAAAGAAAAAGUGCCGUUAUGAAAGAAAAAUGCCUAUGAAAAAAUGAAAACUGCAUUGAAAAAACAAACUUGAAAGAACAAAAACUACACCAUAAUCGUCACCAACAUCACCAUCACCAUUAUCACCAUCACCAUUAUCACCAUCACCACCACCACCACUAGCGUCCAGUCUUAUCACGCCAUCGCGACCCCAACAGUGCUAAAAUUACACGAAUCAAUAGGAAACCAAACUUAACCAGCUGAGAAAUAAUUGAAGGAGAGAGAGAGAAAAAAAAUAUCCCAAAUGAACUUCCUCGUGUCUUCUAAAGGACAAUGUGACCUCGCCGCCACUGCCCCGCGACCCUCAACCCUCGGGCGCUGAGGUCACGCAAAAGGUCAGGUCACACAGGCAAGGAAAAAAAACAA